UAGGGAAUCUUCCGCAAUGGACGCAAGUCUGACGGAGCAACGCCGCGUGAGUGAAGAAGGAUUUCGGUUCGUAAAACUCUGUUGUUAGAGAAGAACAACGCAUAGAGUAACUGUUAUGCGUGUGACGGUAUCUAACCAGAAAGCCACGGCUAACUACGUGCCAGCAGCCGCGGUAAUACGUAGGUGGCAAGCGUUGUCCGGAUUUAUUGGGCGUAAAGCGAGCGCAGGCGGUCAAUUAAGUCUGAUGUGAAAGCCCCCGGCUCAACCGGGGAGGGUCAUUGGAAACUGGUUGACUUGAGUGCAGAAGAGGAGAGUGGAAUUCCAUGUGUAGCGGUGAAAUGCGUAGAUAUAUGGAGGAACACCAGUGGCGAAGGCGACUCUCUGGUCUGUAACUGACGCUGAGGUUCGAAAGCGUGGGUAGCAAACAGG
rnacentral:rRNA from 1 species